rnacentral:rRNA from 1 species
GAUGAACGCUGGCGGCGUGCCUAAUACAUGCAAGUAGAACGCUGAAGGAAGGAGCUUGCUCUUUCCGGGUGAGUUGCGAACGGGUGAGUAACGCGUAGGUAACCUGCCUGGUAGCGGGGGAUAACUAUUGGAAACGAUAGCUAAUACCGCAUAACAGUAGAUGUUGCAUGAUAUCUACUUAAAAGGUGCAAUUGCACCACUACCAGAUGGACCUGCGUUGUAUUAGCUAGUUGGUGAGGUAACGGCUCACCAAGGCGACGAUACAUAGCCGACCUGAGAGGGUGAUCGGCCACACUGGGACUGAGACACGGCCCAGACUCCUACGGGAGGCAGCAGUAGGGAAUCUUCGGCAAUGGACGGAAGUCUGACCGAGCAACGCCGCGUGAGUGAAGAAGGUUUUCGGAUCGUAAAGCUCUGUUGUAAGAGAAGAACGAGUGUGAGAGUGGAAAGUUCACACUGUGACGGUAUCUUACCAGAAAGGGACGGCUAACUACGUG